rfam:Egretta garzetta contig98995, whole genome shotgun sequence.
AGAAACUUAGGAUCACUAUUAAACCGAAGGCCUUCAAAGCCUUAAACAAGAGUUAAACCCUCUUAGUUUCUG